CUCGCACAGGACCCCCCCAAAACCCUAAAGCUGCCCCUAGACGAGAGCUUCACAUCCUGCCGUUAACCCUGCGGGGAGAGCGGGGCAAGGGGGCUGUGAUCUAAGGCCUGAUCCCCUCCCCCUAUCCCAGUUACACAGGCUUCGUGUCCUCCUAUUAACCCUGUGGAGAGAGGACAAAAGCUAAACUAUGAUCCCGCUCCGCUUCCCCCCAUCCCGUUCCCAGCUACAUGAGCUUCACAUCCUCCUGCUAACGCUGAAAAGGAGAGGAGAACAAGAGCUGCUGCUGAUUGAGACUCUUGGAUUUUGGUGUCUCUGACCAUUUUUGCACAAAGAAUACAAUAUAUUUGAGGGGAAAUCUUGAGAACUGUUGGGUAUUCCCAGAACUGGGGCCAUUUGCUUAGAUUCACAUCCUGCCCACCUGUCCUCUGCUGGGUUUCUGUAAAUGCAAUCACUUUGUGUCCACUCUCUCUGGAUAGUACUGCUUCAGCAUCUCUUUCUGCAGUGUUUGUGACCUCCUGUUAUUCGGGGAGCUCUUCACUGUAAUUUUCCUUCCUAUUUUUUUCCUUUUUUUUUUUUUUUUUUUUUGCAGGCUGAUGCUUUUGCUGUUGUUUUAUAUUCCAAGCAAGGAUCCUUGUGAAUGCUUCAGCUCCAAAUUUAGGUCAUCUCCGGUGGAAGAAGGAAGACCUAAAAAGUAAAAAUAAGAUUUCAACGUGCCUUUAAAAGUGACAACUCUUUUGUAAAAGAAAGCUCUGGGCUCCCAUCUGCAAAGAGCUCAUGAGCCCCUCAAGAACUGCUGAGUCAUCAAAGAUCGCACAUCUUCUACAGGACCAGGCCUGUAAGUUGUAGUUGUCUUUUCUUCUGUAGUUGCAUACGAUGUCUUUCAUGACAGAGAACCUUGAGACAAUUUCUGAACUCCACAGCCACAAAAGCAGUGCCUGUUGGGGGUUAUGCAGUC